UGGGGACAACAGUUGGAAACGACUGCUAAUACCGAAUGUGCCUUAGGGUGAAAGAUUUAUUGUCUAGAGAUUGGCUCGCGUCAGAUUAGCUAGUUGGAGUGGUAACGGCACACCAAGGCGACGAUCUGUACUUGGUCUGAGAGGAUGACCAGGCACACUGGAACUGAGACACGGUCCAGACUCCUACGGGAGGCAGCAGUGGGGAAUUUUCCGCAAUGGGCGAAAGCCUGACGGAGCAAUACCGCGUGAGGGAGGACGGCUUUUGGGUUGUAAACCUCUUUUAUCAGGGAAGAAUCGAUGACGGUACCUGAUGAAUCAGCAUCGGCUAACUCCGUGCCAGCAGCCGCGGUAAUACGGAGGAUGCAAGCGUUAUCCGGAAUUAUUGGGCGUAAAGCGUCCGUAGGUGGUUUAUCAAGUCUGCUGUCAAAGCGUGCGGCUUAACCGCAUAAGGGCAGUGGAAACUGAUGAACUAGAGUGCGAUAGGGGUAACAGGAAUUCCCAGUGUAGCGGUGAAAUGCGUAGAUAUUGGGAAGAACACCAGCGGCGAAAGCGUGUUACUGGGUCUGCACUGACAUUGAAGAGCGUGAUUAUUACAGUUCU
rnacentral:rRNA from 1 species